CCUACGGGAGGCAGCAGUGAGGAAUAUUGGUCAAUGGGCGGGAGCCUGAACCAGCCAAGUCGCGUGAGGGAAGACGGUCCUAUGGAUUGUAAACCUCUUUAGGCGGGGAGCAAUGCCGGGCACGCGUGUCCGGAGGGAGAGUACCCGCAGAAUAAGCAUCGGCUAACUCCGUGCCAGCAGCCGCGGUAAUACGGAGGAUGCGAGCGUUAUCCGGAUUUAUUGGGUUUAAAGGGUGCGUAGGCGGAUUUUUAAGUCAGCGGUAAAAUGUCCGGGCUCAACCCGGGCCGGCCGUUGAAACUGGGGAGCUUGAGUGGGCGAGAAGUAUGCGGAAUGCGUGGUGUAGCGGUGAAAUGCAUAGAUAUCACGCAGAACUCCGAUUGCGAAGGCAGCAUACCGGCGCCCGACUGACGCUGAGGCACGAAAGCGUGGGGAUCGAACAGGAUUAGAUACCCCAGUAGUC
rnacentral:rRNA from 1 species